rnacentral:rRNA from 1 species
CCCUUAGAUGUUCUGGGCCGCACGCGCGCUACACUGAUGCAUUCAACGAGUAAUCUUUGACCUUGGUCGACAGAUCUGGGUAAUCUUUUGAAAUUGCAUCGUGAUGGGGCUUGCGGGUUGCAAUUACCCGCACCAACGAGGAAUUCCUAGUAAACGCAAGUCAUCAACUUGCAUUGAUUACGUCCCUGCCCUUUGUACACACCGCCCGUCGCUCCUACCGAUUGAGCGGUCCGGUGAAAUCUUCGGAUUGAGACUUUGAUUUCUUCACGGAAAACGCUGUUUUAAAAAGUUGAUUAAACCUUACCAUUUAGAGGAAGGUGAAGUCGUAACA